rnacentral:rRNA from 1 species
GUCGGCAGCCAUACCACCCUGAUCACAUCUGAUCUCAUCUGAAGCUAAGCAGAGGUGGGCCUGUUUGGUACCUGGAUGGGAGGGAGUUCAAGAAUUAUACU